CUUUACUGUAGCUUUGCAUUGGACUUUGAACCGAUCUGUGUAGGAUAGGUGGGAGGCUAUGAAACCGGGACGCUAGUUUCGGUGGAGCCAACCUUGAAAUACCACCCUGGUUUGUUUGAGGUUCUAACCAUGGCCUGUGAAUCCAGGUCUGGGACCGUGCAUGGUAGGCAGUUUGACUGGGGCGGUCUCCUCCCAAAAGGUAACGGAGGAGUACGAAGGUACGCUAGGUACGGUCGGACAUCGUGCUAAUAGUGCAAUGGCAUAAGCGUGCUUGACUGCGAGACCCACAAGUCAAGCAGGUACGAAAGUAGGUCAUAGUGAUCCGGUGGUUCUGUAUGGAAGGGCCAUCGCUCAACGGAUAAAAGGUA
rnacentral:rRNA from 1 species